CCCUUAGAUGUUCUGGGCCGCACGCGCGCUACACUGAUGCAUUCAACGAGUUUCUUCCUGGUCCGAGAGGAAUGGGUAACCUUUUGAAUGUGCAUCGUGAUUGGGAUAGAUGAUUGCAAUUUUUCAUCUUCAACGAGGAAUGCCUAGUAAACGCAAGUCAUCAGCUUGCAUUGAUUACGUCCCUGCCCUUUGUACACACCGCCCGUCGCUCCUACCGAUUGAAUGAUCCGAUGAAUAUCAUGGAUUGAGGAUGCAAGUAGGUUCGCCUAUCUUCAUCUUCGAGAAGUGAAGUAAAUCUUAUCAUUUAGAGGAAGGAGAAGUCGUAACA
rnacentral:rRNA from 1 species